rnacentral:misc_RNA from 1 species
CCCAGUUAUGGACCAGUAAUUCUCUUUAUAUGCAUGAAGUUUGAUAUCCCAACAACGGCGAACCAUUCCUGUCCGUAUCAUAAGAUCCAUUCAACACUGCGAACAGUCUUGUAAGAUCCAAGAUUAAUCUUCCAACUAUAUAAGCCGGCUGUUCCAACGACCGACCUGCGAAUUUAAUACUAGGUAACCAGUUAUGUUGAUUGAAAUACCUCGGACUAACGAACUGGUCGAAUAACUCAACACCUUGGUUACUAUUAAUUCGAUUUUCUUCUUACGUCACACGUGUCACGAGGAAAUACGAAGAAGAAGCGGACAAGAAGAAACACGAGACGAUCACGUGCCUUUGAGCCAAAGGAACACGCGAACACUAGGUGACUUUCAAACGGUCUCGUUUGCAGCUCGCGUCGGCAACACUUAACAGGUGGUGUCUUCGCAACUGCAACCCGAUAUUUUCCAUCCCUCUUUCAGUGCUCUGUCGUUGAAAUAACGGGCAAACAAACCUGUAGCGGUAAUUUUAAGUAAUCGUUCCUUUUGAUCUCGUACAAACACGAGGCGAGUGUUCUAUGCAAAGGUGGAAUGAGGUCUAGCUAGUAGUUUGCAUGUUGCAACGAUUCAUGAAUUUUCAUAUUUCAAUCCUGCGCUCACGUUGGCGGACAAAAAAGAUUUGUUGUUGAAAAUUGUUUCAGGAUGUUCAACAUAUAAUUAAAACAAGAAAUAAUAUUUCGCUGACAUUUUUUUACAUGUUCCUUAACGUUAGAAACAUAUAAUUGAGCCGGAAAUGACCGAAAUAACGCAGUAUGGUUAAGUUUUCUUGUGGCACAGUAACACGAUAGUAGAUUCUUCAAAAUAAUGAGGUUUAGUUUUCCUUACGAUUUUGAUUUUCAUAAUCACUACUUGUAUUUGUUUUAACGAUUACCUUUAGGCCAAAAUUUUUAUUACAGUAUUUUUAUUACAGCUCUUCGCGUUCGUUUUCUCGGUCGAUUACGAUAA